GGCCUUGUGGCCUAAUGGAUAAGGCGUCGGACUUCGCAUCCGAAGAUUGCAGGUUCGAGUCCUGCCAGGGUCG
rfam:Necator americanus N_americanus-1.0_Cont101405.1, whole genome shotgun sequence.